rnacentral:rRNA from 1 species
GACGAACGCUGGCGGCGUGCUUAACACAUGCAAGUCGAACGAGACGAAUUGGAAGCUUGCUUUUGAUGCGUCGAGUGGCAAACGGGUGAGUAACGCGUAGACAACCUGCCCUUUCGAUGGGGACAACAGUCCGAAAGGACUGCUAAUACCGAAUGUUGUAUCUUUUCCGCAUGGAGGAGAUAUGAAAGAUGGCCUCUACUUGUAAGCUAUCACGAAAGGAUGGGUCUGCGUCUGAUUAGCUGGUUGGCGGGGUAACGGCUCACCAAGGCGACGAUCAGUAGCCGGUCUGAGAGGAUGAACGGCCACAUUGGGACUGAGACACGGCCCAGACUCCUACGGGAGGCAGCAGUGGGGAAUCUUCCGCAAUGGGCGAAAGCCUGACGGAGCAACGCCGCGUGAGUGAAGAAGGUCUUCGGAUCGUAAAGCUCUGUUGUCGGGGACGAACGCAGUUCGGGUAAACAUCCGAGCCGGGACGG